rnacentral:rRNA from 1 species
AAAAUUUCCCGAAUUUUGGGGAGCUAAUUGUGAAAUUAUUUUAAUGUGGAAAAAUUAUUUAUAAUUUAUAAUUUGUAAUUAUAUGUUAGUCAUUCUUUAAUAUAUCUGGUUUUCUAAGAAAUUAAUUCAAUUAAUUUAAUCAAAUGAAUGAUUUUAUAAUAAAAUAAAUCUUUGAUUAUUAAAGCUUUAAGGGGAUAAGCUUUUAAAGUUAAAUUUAUAAUAGGCUAAUUAACUGAGUUAAAUAGGAUUAGAAGUUUCCAAUUUUAAUAGAGUUUAAUAACCAAUCUCAGAGAUUAUUUAAUUUAUUAAGUGUUUAAUUUUUUUAUUAGAAUGAUUUAUUUAAUUAUUUUUUAAAUAUAAUAAUGAUAGAAUUAGUAAAUUUUAAUGUGAAUAGUUUUCUUAUGUGAGGAGUUUUUAAUAAGGAACUCGGCAAAUUAACUUUCCGCCUGUUUAAUAAAAACAUGUCUUUCUGUUAAAUAUUUAAAGUCUGGCCUGCCCAAUGAUUAUUUAAAUGGCCGCGGUAUUUUGACCGUGCAAAGGUAGCAUAAUCAUUAGUUUUUUAAUUGAAAGCUGGUAUGAAUGGUUUGACGAGAAAGUUGCUGUCUCUUUAAAAUUAAUUGAAUUUUAUUUUUUAGUUAAAAAGCUGAAAUUUUCAUAAGGGACGAGAAGACCCUAUAGAAUUUUAUAAUUAAAUGUUUAGUAAUUAUAUUGAUUUAUAUUUGUUAUAAAACUUUUAAUUAUUUUGUUGGGGCGAUAGGAAAAUUUAAUUAACUUUUUAUUAUUAAGAGCAUUGAUUUAUGUAUAUAUGAUCCAUUUUUUUUUGAUUACAAGAGAAAAUUACCUUAGGGAUAACAGCGUUAUUAAUUUGGAGAGUUCAUAUCGAUAAAUUAGUUUGCGACCUCGAUGUUGGAUUAAAAUUAUCUUUAGGUGGAGAUACUUAAAAGUUAAGUCUGUUCGACUUUUAAAAUUUUACAUGAUCU